CCAUGAUUUUUUAGAGGGAUAUUAAAGAAAACCCAAUGCUCAAAGAGAUGUUUCCAGAACCAUCCAUCCUAGCCUUUAAACAAACACUAAACCUCACCAACCUCAUCACCAGAAGCAAACUUCCUACAGCCGCAAAAACACCGAGUGGAUCCAGAACAUGCUAUGACAAGAAAUAUAAAACCUG